UACGUAGGGGGCGAGCGUUGUCCGGAUUCAUUGGGCGUAAAGAGCUCGUAGGCGGCUUGGCAAGUCGGAUGUGAAAACUCCAGGCUCAACCUGGAGCCGCCAUUCGAUACUGCUAUGGCUAGAGUCCGGUAGGGGAGUGUGGAAUUCCCGGUGUAGCGGUGAAAUGCGCAGAUAUCGGGAGGAACACCUGUGGCGAAGGCGGCCCCCUGGGCCGGCCCUGACGCUGAGACGCGAAGGCGUGGGGAGCGAACGGG
rnacentral:rRNA from 1 species